rnacentral:tmRNA from 1 species
GGGGCCGUAAUGGUUUCGACAGGCUGGUAAAAGCCACCCCGUGAAGCAGGUCGAGAGGGAGUCCACUCUCGGAAAUCAAGGCUCAACAAAAUAGUAAUUGCGAACAACAUCGUUCCUUUCGCUCGUAAGGCAGCUGCUGUUGCCUAAACAAAACCUCUAACUAGGUUCGAGCACUCAUCGUCUGACACCGUUAAGGGCGAUGGGUAAAACCCCAACGGUUGCUCGCUUGAACCAUCUCUGGUUGGUCAAGCGAUAAGACUUAACCAGAGCUCCCCUUCAUCUGGGAUAAAGGAUGAACCCCGUUGCGUCGGGUCAACGCAACUAAGCCUGUGAAUGAGCGGACGGUCAAUAGCCAGUCUGGACAGCAGUUCGAUUCUGCUCGGCUCCAUUU